rnacentral:lncRNA from 1 species
CUGAAACAAAAAAUCCACUUAAAGUGCAACCGCAUCUUAAAAAAUGCUUUGAAGGUAUAAAUAGAUUAGUUUUUGAUCUUGAAUAUAAUAUAUCUGCUAUGAUAUCAAUGGAAGGUGAACAAGUAGAGUUUUUAGAAACUAUCAGUGUAGCAGCUGCUAGAGGUUCAGUUGAAAAAUGGUU